UAGGGAAUCUUCGGCAAUGGGGGGAACCCUGACCGAGCAACGCCGCGUGAGUGAAGAAGGUUUUCGGAUCGUAAAGCUCUGUUGUUAAGGAAGAACGAGUGUGAGAAUGGAAAGUUCAUGCUGUGACGGUACUUAACCAGAAAGGGACGGCUAACUACGUGCCAGCAGCCGCGGUAAUACGUAGGUCCCGAGCGCUGUCCGGAUUUAUUGGGCGUAAAGCGAGCGCAGGCGGUUAGAAAAGUCUGAAGUGAAAGGCAGUGGCUCAACCAUUGUAGGCUUUGGAAACUGUUUAACUUGAGUGCAGAAGGGGAGGGUGGAAUUCCAUGUGUAGCGGUGAAAUGCGUAGAUAUAUGGAGGAACACCGGUGGCGAAAGCGGCUCUCUGGUCUGUAACUGACGCUGAGGCUCGAAAGCGUGGGGAGCGAACAGG
rnacentral:rRNA from 1 species